rnacentral:rRNA from 1 species
UACAGAGGGUGCAAGCGUUAAUCGGAAUUACUGGGCGUAAAGCGUGCGUAGGCGGUCAUUUAAGUCGGGUGUGAAAUCCCCGGGCUCAACCUGGGAAUUGCGUUGGAGACUGCAAGGCUGGAGUCUGGCAGAGGGGGGUAGAAUUCCACGUGUAGCAGUGAAAUGCGUAGAGAUGUGGAGGAACACCGAUGGCGAAGGCAGCCCCCUGGGUCAAGACUGACGCUCAUGCACGAAAGCGUGGGGAGCAAACAGG